rnacentral:rRNA from 1 species
CGGUUAAGUUAGAAAGGGCGCACGGUGGAUGCCUUGGCACUAGGAGCCGAUGAAGGACGGGACGAACACCGAUAUGCUUCGGGGAGCUGUAAGCAAGCUUUGAUCCGGAGAUUUCCGAAUGGGGAAACCCACUGCUCGUAAUGGAGCAGUAUCCAUAUC